CUCUCUCUCUCUCAACUCUCAACCACUGGAUGGUAUAUCAGUUCACACAGCAAGAAGCCAAGGACCCACCGAGGCUGUCACUUGGAAGAGGUCAUUGUUGUUGCAUCCAGCAUCCCAGCCUGACUGCCUAGACAGGUCCCGCAGGUUGCUGAAUGGCAGAGGUGCAGGCUGCUCCACAGCAAGAUGUGAGACCAGUGUGGCAGAGUAUGAUGUGUACACAAUGAGGGACACACUGUAGCCAACCCAGUAGAUUACCGGUGCUGCAGUGCUGAUUGGCACCUCUGGAGUCGCUCGAUGAAGAAGAGGAUGCUGGCGAGGCCUGUCGUGUUAGCCGGGAUGCGCCGGUACAGAGCUGUGUCCGUUGGGGUUGUGUAGGCAAGCAUCUUCUUGGCAAGGUCCUCGUAGGUGGCCGCAAACAGUUUACGGCUGUGGGGAUGAGAACUUGUCUUGUGAAUGUGACGUUGGGGUGAGUGUUAAUCUGAUUUUGUGUUACUAUGUUCUGUGGGGAGUGGGUGUUAAUGUGAUUUUUUGUUAACUGAAUGCUGUGUCUGACCUCCUGAGGUGUAGUAUGGUGGGCCACAAGAUUGUCCCUUUCCACUAGGGGCUGACAGAUGAUAUUAAGAGUGUGAAUGUGUGUGUGGUGUUAACGUGCUGGAGUGUGCACAGCCAGGAGUGUUUGGGGAAUGAAAAUAAAAGGAGUUAUGGAUGUUUAAAAAUGCAUCUUUUGAGAGCUAAGUAUACAAGAAAGUUGGUGUGUUUGGGGAAUGAGUAAACAAUGAAGAAAUGUUUUGAGGAACUGGGUGUGCAGAGGCAGGAGUGUUUGGAGAAUGAGAAUACAGGAAGACAGGAAUGAUUUGGGAAUAAGUGUACAAGAAAGGAGUGUUUGAGUGACAAUAUAUAAGGAAGAGGUGUUUUGAAAAUGAGAGUACAAGGAAUGAGCAUUUUGGGAGUUAAUAUACAAGGAAGCAAGUAUUUAAGGGACUCAAGUAUACAAGAUUAUUUUCCUGUCAUAUGUCAUUAUACAGUGUUUUUCUUUGUUAUAUACAUCAUUCCCUUUCACUUUUCAUAUCUUGUGUUCUCGUCAUUCUGAUGUAAUGUUACAGAUAGAGAAUGUUUGGUGUCAAAUUUUCACUAAUUUCAUAUGUGUAUAAACUUUCAUUUCAUUGACUUUUUUUUACUAUUACUACUAUAUUUGCUUGCUUUUUAAACAAGUCUUUUCUUUCAGAGGAGGGAAGCACAGGGGAAGAGGAGGACGAGGAAGAAGAGAGUUAAGAGUCACAAGAGGAGGAGGAAGGUGGAAAGAAAGAGGAAGGAGAGGAGGAGGAGGAGGAGGAGGAAGAUGGAGAAGGAAAGGAGAAAGAUAAGAAGGAAGGAAAUGCCGCAGAAGGAGAAGAGCAAUAAGAAAUUAGAAUUGACAGAGAAACCAGACAAGGGACUGCAUUUGAAGAAGCACAAGAACCAAGAAAUUACAUCAUUCAAUGAAAUGACAACAUAAUCUAAAAUAGAAAUCAAAAACGUCACAAGACAGAAUAGUGAGCUGCAUGCACUUAUCACAGAGUAUAAAGUCACUCCCUCAGAGGAAAAAGACAAGGAUGGCAUGUCUUCAUGUGAGAACUCAGAAGCUAAAUGUACAGAUACCAAGGGGAAAUUGCUGGGUCAAGUGGCUACACUGACAUCUGAGGUUAGCAGGUUGGAGAGUGAGUGCAGCAGUCUUCAGGUUCAGCUAGACUGUGAGAGGGAUAAGUAUAACAAACUGCUGGGAGAAUCUCUUGCUCAUGAAAAGUUGUCUGAAGAUGUCAUAACUGAACCAAAAGGAGAAACAACAGGAUUGGGAGGAACUGAGCUUUAACAGAAGCUGCAACAACUGCAGGAGGCUCACAGGGUCCUGGAGAGCAGGUUAACUUGCAGCAUGAAGGAGGUGGCUGAGCUAAGUGACAGGAAGUAGCAGCUUAAGCAUGCUGUAGUGCAUGAGGAGACAGAGUCCAUCGGUGUAUGCAUGUUUUUUGCUCAUUUGAAUCAUCUGUAAAAGUGAAGUGGAGGAAGUGUUUACUGUUUACUGUAUGCCAUUUCCUUGGUCUUUUAAUGAAGAAUUUUAUCCUUCUUCAGGUGACUACAUCACCAUCUACCAGUUGCAGCGAGGAGUGAUGAAGCAACAAGCUCGAGAACGCGAGUUAGACCUUGCCAGCCUCCAUCAUGAAUGAGAGGAAAUGAAGCAAAACCACUCUGCAGGAUUUGAUAUCAAAGCUGGUGCAGGAAAAGGAAGCAGAUCAUGACCUUCAGCAGCUCGAGAAGAUAAGCAGCGUCCUUAAGAGUCCAGUUGCUAUCUUUAGCAGUGUUGGAACCAGUGAGUCUGAGACACCCACCAGCAGUGGAAAGCUGGCUGACGAGCGCCUCAAGCACUCUGAAAAGGUGGAGCAACAACAAGAAACAGAAAAUUGCAUCCAUCAUUCUUUGCCUGAGGAGGGAAUUGAUGCUCUGUUGACCCUUCACACUGAUGUCC